AGAGCGGCAAGUCGUCCGCUGAGAACCUGCAGGCGGCCUGACGCCACAGCGCAUCUGGUUUUUGACCACGGAUGUACUGGCACUGACUGCUGAUGCGCUUACGAAGGCCGGGCCAGUUCCCGGCCUUUUCGUUA
rnacentral:sRNA from 1 species